GAUUCCGUAGCUCAGCCUGGUUAGAGCGCUGCUCUGAUAAGGCAGAGGUCCUGGGUUCAAAUCCCAGCGGGAUCA
rnacentral:tRNA from 1 species